UCUCUCUCUCUCUCUCUCUCUCUCUCUCUCUCUCUCUCUCUCUCUCUCUCUAUAUAUAUAUAUAUAUAUAUAUAUAUAUAUAUAUAUAUAUAUAGGUAAAAUCAAAUGAUUUAAUUGAACGAGAAUAGAUGUAUCCAUGGGAGUUUAAAGAUAAAUAAAAUUGGAUAGAAAGAUCCGCCAAGGAAUACCAUAGAGUAGAUCCUGCAUGGUUC
rnacentral:lncRNA from 1 species